rnacentral:lncRNA from 1 species
GUUUACUGUCUUGGUGAAUUUAAGGGUCGCGAUUUGGGGAAGUUGCCGACAGUCACUGUUCCCGCUACCGAUCGUGAAUCUGGUGUGGCCGGAAUAGUGGGUUGUGAUUUUGUGAGUGGGUAUUGUGGUAGUUGGCUUAUGGCUGGACGCCUGGACAGUAACGGUGGAAUGGUGGGUAGAAUGUGGCUGAGUGUUGAUUUCAGUUGUUG